AGCGGAAGAAGGGAGCUUGCUCCCGGAUUCAGCGGCGGACGGGUGAGUAACACCUGGGAAUCUGCCUGGUAGUGGGGGAUAACGUCCGGAAACGGGCGCUAAUACCGCGUACGUCCUACGGGAGAAAGCAGGGGAUCUUCGGACCUUGCGCUAUCAGAUGAGCCCAGGUCGGAUUAGCUAGUAGGUGAGGUAAUGGCUCACCUAGGCGACGAUCCGUAACUGGUCUGAGAGGAUGAUCAGUCACACUGGAACUGAGACACGGUCCAGACUCCUACGGGAGGCAGCAGUGGGGAAUAUUGGACAAUGGGGGCAACCCUGAUCCAGCCAUGCCGCGUGUGUGAAGAAGGUCUUCGGAUUGUAAAGCACUUUAAGUUGGGAGGAAGGGCUUUAGGUUAAUACCCUGAAGUUUUGACGUUACCAACAGAAUAAGCACCGGCUAACUCUGUGCCAGCAGCCGCGGUAAUACAGAGGGUGCAAGCGUUAAUCGGAAUUACUGGGCGUAAAGCGCGCGUAGGUGGUUCAGUAAGAUGGGUGUGAAAUCCCCGGGCUUAACCUGGGAACUGCUUUCAUAACUGCUGAGCUAGAGUACGGUAGAGGGUAGUGGAAUUUCCUGUGUAGCGGUGAAAUGCGUAGAUAUAGGAAGGAACACCAGUGGCGAAGGCGACUACCUGGACUGAUACUGACACUGAGGUGCGAAAGCGUGGGGAGCAAACAGGAUUAGAUACCCUGGUAGUCCACGCCGUAAACGAUGUCAACUAGCCGUUGGAGUCCUUGAGACUUUAGUGGCGCAGCUAAC
rnacentral:rRNA from 1 species